AGCGAACGCUGGCGGCAGGCUUAACACAUGCAAGUCGAGCGCCUGUAGCAAUACAGGAGCGGCAGACGGGAGAGUAACACGUGGGAACGUACCCUUUGGUUCGGAACAACCCAGGGAAACUUGGACUAAUACCGGAUAAGCCCGUAACGGGGAAAGAUUUAUCGCCAAAGGAUCGGCCCGCGUCUGAUUAGCUAGUUGGUGAGGUAAAGGCUCACCAAGGCUACGAUCAGUAGCUGGUCNGAGAGGAUGAUCAGCCACAUUGGGACUGAGACACGGCCCAAACUCCUACGGGAGGCAGCAGUGGGGAAUCUUGCGCAAUGGGCGAAAGCCUGACGCAGCCAUGCCGCGUGGAUGAUGAAGGUCUUAGGAUUGUAAAAUCCUUUCAGUGGGGGACGAUAAUGACGGUACCACAGAAGAAGCCCCGGCUAACUUCGUGCCA
rnacentral:rRNA from 1 species